AUCGGUAGGGGAGCGUUCUGUUGUAGGUUGAAGCAUUAACGUAAGUGGGUGUGGACGAAGCAGAAGUGAGAAUGUCGGCUUGAGUAGCGAAAACAUUGGUGAGAAUCCAAUGCCCCGAAAACCUAAGGUUUCCCCCGGAAGGCUCGUCCGCGGGGGGUGAGUCAGGACCUAAGGCGAGGUCGAAAGACGUAGUCGAUGGACAAUAGGUUAAUAUUCCUAUACCGUUUUUUAUUGGCAACGAGGGACGAAGAAGGCUAAACUUAUCCAGAUAGUGGUCACUGGUCCAAGCAUUCAAGGUUAUGAGAAAUAGUGAAAAUAUUUUGAGCUGAGAUGUGAUGGGGAGAUACUUAGUAUUGAAGUAGUUGAUGUCAUGCUUCCAAGAAAAGCUUGCACUGUCAUAAAUAGAAAACGCCUGUACCCUAAACCGACACAGGUAGGUAGGUAGAGUAUACUAAGGGGCGCGAGAUAACUCUCUCUAAGGAACUCGGCAAAAUAACCCCGUAACUUUGGGAGAAGGGGUACCCUAUGGGUUGCAAUAACAAGGUCCAAGCGACUGUUUAUCAAAAACACAGGUCUCCGCGAAGUCGAAAGACAAUGUAUGGGGGCUGACGCCUGCCCAGUGCCGGAAGGUUAAAGAAGCUGGUUAGCAGUAGCGAAGCUAGUGACUGAAGCCCCGGUGAACGGCGGCCGUAACAAUAACGGU
rnacentral:rRNA from 1 species